UAGCAGGAUGGUGCGUUCAGAGCCAUCAUCCAACACUGUGUAGCAGGAGGGGUUUUGUUUACUCCACCUACAUUUCUUCAUUUAAUAAUGGUGUGCGGGCGCUUUAAGGUGCUGGGCGGGAUUUCUAUCCCCUAUAUAUAGAUGGGGGACCCUUAUUUGGUGUGCGCUUCCUGUCCCCCACUCCUCUCUCUCCCGGAGCGUCUCACUUCCGGUCCAGCGGCAUUCAGCUUGGUUGAUUUAGCGCGGUUUUUGGCUCACUUCCAAAGAAGACUUGAAGAUUUUCGGCUGUUUUGCCGGCCCAGCAGCGUUGUAUUGCGCUCUUGUGGGUCUAGUUUCACUUUCAGUUUCAUAAGGGAUAGCGGCCGUGUGGCUGUGCUGUUGCCGUGCUGUGGCUGAUCGUCUGCUGUGGCCAUUUCCUGUGUCUGCCGUGCCAUUUUCUGCUAGCUGCUGUUUGCUGCACCAGCUGUGAUUGCCAGUGGUGUUGUCUGCUCUCUGCACUCUAACCCUGAUUGUUUGGGGAAACUGCAUGCUGUAUCAGAACUGUGUGUGUGUGUGUGUGUGUUGUGGUGGUUGUACUGUGGUGUGGUAAAGAGGGGCUGCGAGAGACCAGGACUAAAUAAGAUAAGUGCCUUUCUCUUUUAUAUAGUUGUUGUAAUUAAUUGUGUAGUUUUAAUUUGAAAUAUAGUUCUGGUAAAAUUAUUAGUGGUCUCUCCCCUCUACCAUUUGCCAUACUUAAUUUUGUUUCUUUUUUUUGGCUGGACAGGAGCUGUGGGCCAAAGCGACAGAGCUUGGGGUGUGGAGUACCUUUUCACCAUUCUGUAGUGUAGAGCACUUGGUGUUUGAGAUAUGCAGUGCAGUCACGUGUGGUGUGUGUAGUGUAGGUGACCUCGUAUCCUUUUUCUGCUCCUUUCUGCCGCGGUAAGCCCUCAGUCCAGUCCUGGCCUGAGUCUUAAUAUUAAUUUGUCUGUCCAGUGUUUGUGUGUGUGUGUGUGAAUGUUUUAAAAAUAAUUGUUAAUAAAAUUGUGUUUAAAUAUUUGGAA